UACGUAGGGGGGCAAGCGUUGUCCGGAUUUAUUGGGCGUAAAGAGCGUGUAGGCGGCCACGCAGGUCCGUUGUGAAAACUGGAGGCUCAACCUCCAGCUGUCGACGGAAACCGUGUGGCUAGAGUCCGGAAGAGGAGAGUGGAAUUCCUGGUGUAGCGGUGAAAUGCGCAGAUAUCAGGAAGAACACCAAUGGCGAAGGCAGCUCUCUGGGACGGUACUGACGCUGAGACGCGAAAGCGUGGGGAGCGAACAGG
rnacentral:rRNA from 1 species